AUAUCAGAGUCAAAAUCGGAAUAAAGUCAGAUAUUAGCAUAAAUUAGAAGAAAUUGCGACUUCAGCUAUAUGAUGCGGAAUAUCCUGUUUUGAGACAUGGAAUAUGUAUAGCAAGCUAAUGUGUUUUAAAAAACUAAGUGUCAAAACGGAAACCAACUAAAAACAUACAAACAUAUGUAUAUAUAAAGCAUACAUACAUCUGGAGACAGCAAAAAGAGACACCGGAAAAAUUAAGAUAUUUCAAUCACCAGAAGCAGCGUCAAUGCUUAAUCGCACUCAUCAAUCAAGACAAGCGUUCAUAGUUCUGACACUGAAGGUACAGCGAACAUUUAACGUAGAGUGCGAAACUCUGUUGGUCCUCGGUACAUACUUCACCUUAAUGUUCUCGCUUAUAGUCAUAUUGACAGUGAGCAGCCGUUGAGAAUGAAAGGCGGAAUUUUUCUCUGAAAGGGAUAUACCCAUAAGUACUCAUAUUUUUUGCGAACACAUUAAUCAUGUACUCGUAGCACAUUACGCUUCGUCAGCAUUAGUUAACAAAUUGAUUGUAAUCAACUCCAUAUAACAAAUAUAAUAAUUGAACGUAAAGCGCAGGAAAAUUUACGACGCUUAUUUAAAUCAACACGAAAUUACUACACCAACAUAUACCAUACAUAUACAUAUUCAACAUGGGAGCGAAUUCGUCGAGCAGAUCGGAUGCAAGUCUUCUCAGCGAUGAAGAUGUCAAUUUUGACCAUUUUCAAAUAUUGCGGGCGAUUGGUAAAGGGAGCUUUGGCAAGGUGUGCAUCGUACAGAAACGUGAUAGUGGCAUACUCUAUGCCAUGAAAUAUGUCAGUCGGUCGGCGUGCGAGUCGCGUGGUGCCCUGGGUGGUGUUAUCAAAGAAGUGGAAUUGCUUGCCUCGCUGGAACACCCAUUUCUGGUGAAUCUGUGGUUUUCAUUUCAAGAUGAGGAGGAUUUAUUUAUGGUGUGUGAUUUGCUGACUGGCGGUGAUUUAAGGUAUCAUCUACAGAAUCGGGUGGAAUUCAGCGAAAAAAGUGUUGCCUUAUUAGUGUGUGAGUUGGGAAGUGCUUUAGAAUACUUGCAGAAGCAAAGAGUGGUGCAUAGGGAUAUCAAGCCAGAUAACAUUCUUUUGGAUGGUGCUGGACACGCACAUUUGACUGAUUUUAAUAUAGCUACAAGACUGCAAAAGGACGGACUUGCAUGCAGCAUGUCUGGAACCAAACCGUAUAUGGCGCCAGAGGUAUUCAUGUGUGCAUUAGAGGAAAUAGCGGGUUACAGUUUUCCGGUCGACUGGUGGUCUCUCGGUGUAGUUGCAUAUGAGAUGCGUGCCAAUGUGCGACCUUUUAUCGUGCAUUCGCAUACGGGAUUGGCGGAGGUAAAAAAUAUAUUAACAGCACCGGUGCACUAUCCACGUUAUUGGAGUCAUAAUUUCAUCGAUUUGCUGACAAAGCUGCUCUGUGUACAUCCCGGCGCACGUAUUAGCUCUCAGCAGGAGAUACAACAAACACCACUUCUACGACACACGGACUUCAAAAGUAUACUCGAGAAAACAACUAAACCACCAUUCAAGCCACCUGAGGAUCACCUUAAUUGUGAUCCUUGUUUAGAACUGGAGGAAAUGAUUGUCGAAACACGACCGCUGCAUAAGAAAAAGAAGCGUUUAGCCAAACAGCGAUCGGCACAACGUGACAGCGAUCCCGAAACGAUUCUCAUCAAGGAGUUUAUAGUUUACAAUCGGUAUAAAGAACUGAAACGAAAGGCUAUGGAAAAGAAAGAAAACGAUUGGCAGCGCGAACUCGAACACGCUAUGGCGAAUUCAAUCGUGACUAGUUUAGCGCCAAUCCAAGAGAAGCCAACGACGAUGCAUUUUAGUGGUGAUGGUGAUAACGACGAGAUUGUUGGUGUGACUACGACGGCGACGAAUGGAAAUAUUACAGCUAGCCACGCGUUGGCCGCAAAACCCAAUUCAUACGUGCCCAUUACUACAACAAUAAAUGCGUUAAGUAGUCACACGCUUUCCACACCAAAUACGAGUACAACCAUUCUGAGUGGAGCUACAGCGUUGCCACCGCUUUGUACGAAAUGCCAACAUCACAGCCCAAUAAUGGGAAUAACAACGCCGCCGCAGACCAAAAUUCAACUUUCAUCGAACAUAAAGGAUGGCGAAAUUAUUGAAUUUAUCGAUCGUACACCUUCACCGUCGACAUCAAACGCCGUUACGUUACGAACGCCAGUGAUGACAAGAAAAGCUGACGCAACAGCAAAUGCGAAUGUGGUGUAGACGAACUGUAGCGGCUAAUCAUAACUAGGUUAUACAGGAAAUAAAUGAAAAAACAUGAUUAUAUGUACGAUAAUUAAGUUCACCGAAUGAAGUAUUUGAAAAUAUAAAAUGGAAGUCUACUUUUAGGCACAACUUUUAUGCGAAAUGGAAGGCGCUUUCGUUAAAUUUCACUAAUAACCAUGUACCCGCUUAGCUCCUAUGCAUAAGUUGAAAUUACAAUAAAUGUGAAAAAACUCUAGCAGUCCUAGUUGCUUCGGUUAAAAAACCUUCCUAGAUCUUGAUAAUCUGACGGACAACAAUAAAACACCUUAAACGGGUUCAGCGUGCGACCCUCGGCCACGAGGUUAUAGCGAUAGUCUGAUUUGGCAGAUGAAAUUAUUAGUGGAAUAUAGGAAAAGAAAUCUUCGAAAGAAACAUCAACAAUUCUUUGUGUUCUUAAAUCCUUUAUAAACUGUUAUAGACUGAAAACUAUAUGGAUACUGAACGCGCCCAUUAACAGUUUAUUUUAAUGAGAGUACUUUUUCCUGAGGAGAAUAAAAUCAUUGAAAUUUUGAUAGUACAUUAUGAUUUUAAUGGUGUGAAAAAUAGCUGGGAUGAAAAUACGAACGUAAGAAAUGUGGAAAAAUUAAAAACAUAAUUAUAUAUACAUUACAUAGAAAGGAAGCAAAUAUAUAUUUUUUUUUUGUUUUAA